AGUGAACCAGUACCGUGAGGGAAAGGCGAAAAGAACCCCGGCGAGGGGAGUGAAAAAGAACCUGAAACCGUGUACGUACAAGCAGUGGGAGCACGCUUCGGCGUGUGACUGCGUACCUUUUGUAUAAUGGGUCAGCGACUUAUAUUCUGUAGCAAGGUUAACCGAAUAGGGGAGCCGAAGGGAAACCGAGUCUUAACUGGGCGUUAAGUUGCAGGGUAUAGACCCGAAACCCGGUGAUCUAGCCAUGGGCAGGUUGAAGGUUGGGUAACACUAACUGGAGGACCGAACCGACUAAUGUUGAAAAAUUAGCGGAUGACUUGUGGCUGGGGGUGAAAGGCCAAUCAAACCGGGAGAUAGCUGGUUCUCCCCGAAAGCUAUUUAGGUAGCGCCUCGUGAAUUCAUCUCCGGGGGUAGAGCACUGUUUCGGCAAGGGGGUCAUCCCGACUUACCAACCCGAUGCAAACUGCGAAUACCGGAGAAUGUUAUCACGGGAGACACACGGCGGGUGCUAACGUCCGUCGUGAAGAGGGAAACAACCCAGACCGCCAGCUAAGGUCCCAAAGUCAUGGUUAAGUGGGAAACGAUGUGGGAAGGCCCAGACAGCCAGGAUGUUGGCUUAGAAGCAGCCAUCAUUUAAAGAAAGCGUAAUAGCUCACUGGUCGAGUCGGCCUGCGCGGAAGAUGUAACGGGGCUAAACCAUGCACCGAAGCUGCGGCAGCGACGCUGAUGCGUUGUUGGGUAGGGGAGCGUUCUGUAAGCCUGCGAAGGUGUGCUGUGAGGCAUGCUGGAGGUAUCAGAAGUGCGAAUGCUGACAUAAGUAACGAUAAAGCGGGUGAAAAGCCCGCUCGCCGGAAGACCAAGGGUUCCUGUCCAACGUUAAUCGGGGCAGGGUGAGUCGACCCCUAAGGCGAGGCCGAAAGGCGUAGUCGAUGGGAAACAGGUUAAUAUUCCUGUACUUGGUGUUACUGCGAAGGGGGGACGGAGAAGGCUAUGUUGGCCGGGCGACGGUUGUCCCGGUUUAAGCGUGUAGGCUGGUUUUCCAGGCAAAUCCGGAAAAUCAAGGCUGAGGCGUGAUGACGAGGCACUACGGUGCUGAAGCAACAAAUGCCCUGCUUCCAGGAAAAGCCUCUAAGCAUCAGGUAACAUCAAAUCGUACCCCAAACCGACACAGGUGGUCAGGUAGAGAAUACCAAGGCGCUUGAGAGAACUCGGGUGAAGGAACUAGGCAAAAUGGUGCCGUAACUUCGGGAGAAGGCACGCUGAUAUGUAGGUGAAGCGACUUGCUCGUGGAGCUGAAAUCAGUCGAAGAUACCAGCUGGCUGCAACUGUUUAUUAAAAACACAGCACUGUGCAAACACGAAAGUGGACGUAUACGGUGUGACGCCUGCCCGGUGCCGGAAGGUUAAUUGAUGGGGUUAGCGGUAACGCGAAGCUCUUGAUCGAAGCCCCGGUAAACGGCGGCCGUAACUAUAACGGUCCUAAGGUAGCGAAAUUCCUUGUCGGGUAAGUUCCGACCUGCACGAAUGGCGUAAUGAUGGCCAGGCUGUCUCCACCCGAGACUCAGUGAAAUUGAACUCGCUGUGAAGAUGCAGUGUACCCGCGGCAAGACGGAAAGACCCCGUGAACCUUUACUAUAGCUUGACACUGAACAUUGAGCCUUGAUGUGUAGGAUAGGUGGGAGGCUUUGAAGUGUGGACGCCAGUCUGCAUGGAGCCGACCUUGAAAUACCACCCUUUAAUGUUUGAUGUUCUAACGUUGACCCGUAAUCCGGGUUGCGGACAGUGUCUGGUGGGUAGUUUGACUGGGGCGGUCUCCUCCUAAAGAGUAACGGAGGAGCACGAAGGUUGGCUAAUCCUGGUCGGACAUCAGGAGGUUAGUGCAAUGGCAUAAGCCAGCUUGACUGCGAGCGUGACGGCGCGAGCAGGUGCGAAAGCAGGUCAUAGUGAUCCGGUGGUUCUGAAUGGAAGGGCCAUCGCUCAACGGAUAAAAGGUACUCCGGGGA
rnacentral:rRNA from 1 species